rnacentral:rRNA from 1 species
GAUGAACGCUGGCGGCGUGCUUAACACAUGCAAGUCGAGGGGCAUCACAUGAAGUAGCAAUACGGAUGGUGGCGACCGGCGCACGGGUGAGUAACACGUAUGCAACCUGCCUUCAACAAGGGGAUAACCCGUUGAAAGACGGACUAAUACCCUAUAACACAGGGGUCCCGCAUGGGAAUAUUUGUUAAAGGACAACCGGUUGAAGAUGGGCAUGCGUUCCAUUAGCUAGUUGGCGGGUAACGGCCCACCAAGGCAACGAUGGAUAGGGGAACUGAGAGGUUUAUCCCCCACACUGGUACUGAGACACGGACCAGACUCCUACGGGAGGCAGCAGUGAGGAAUAUUGGUCAAUGGACGCAAGUCUGAACCAGCCACGUCGCGUGAAGGAAGACGGCCCUAGGGUUGUAAACUUCUUUUAACGGGAAUAAGUGCCCCACGCGUGGGGUUUUGCAUGUACCGUAUGAAUAAGAUCGGCUAACUCCGUGCCAGCAGCCG